UGCUCAGCAACUCCUAUCCCUACCUCCACGCGGUACCGGCCGGAAACUAUGAGAAACCUCAGGGAAGA
rnacentral:ribozyme from 1 species